ACAGGUCCACGCAGAGCAGGUCCACGUAGAACAGGUCCACGCAGAACAGGUCCACGCAGAACAGGUCCACGCAGAACAGGUCCAACACCACUGAACAAGAACCGCCAUCAGAACCAGGAAACGCCGAUCUCCGCCCGCCGCGCUGCUGCACGCU